GCGCCCGGCCGGCGUGGCUGGCUGUUUGAGGACUGCGCGCGGAGCUCCGUGGCGGGUGUCUGAAGUCGUGAGUUUACUGCUUGUAAGGAACAUAGCGAUCACUGGGAACCUGGAAGUAGAGACUCCUUUCUGCCAUCCAUCCGUCCCUCGGGCUGCUGCGAAUCCCCCCGCCGGCCUCCAGGACCCCGGGCUGACUGAACGCCCGCACCGGUCCCGCCGCCCCAGGGCCCGCUACGCGCCCGGCAUAAUGGGAGAAAAAUCACGACGGAAAGGCCCAGCCCCUCGCCAUGCAGACGGGAAGCUUGGCCGCACGUGUGAUCACCCUUACGCCCCUUGGAGUUUCACCCCCUCUUCGCGGGCUCCAACAGCCUGGGUCAGGCCUCCUUGUCCUGUGUGGGCCUCUCGGCUGCAAGAACACAGUCCCGAGCCCCGGCGAGCCCGCGCGCCUCCCACCCGCCGUGCACAGGCUGCACUUUACGCCCCAGCACUGCGCCUGCGGGACCAUCUGGAUCGCUUUUCCAUUCUGAUGACGUCCUGUACUUCGUGGCUGCAGGCUCCUCAAGCCCCAGGUCUGUGCAGAGACGAGCAAAGCAGCAGAAUAUCCGUGCCACAGCUUUCUGGAGCACCCAUUUUACUACCAGAUUUGGAAGGAACGAAGUUAAGUAAUUUCCAAGAAUCAUCUCCCCUGCCCCACAAACAUGAAAGAAAAGACAAGAGAAGCACCCCAGAAGAGGAGGGGAGAAGUGCCCCAGAAAAAAUCAUCCAGUCUCUGAAGCUUUGCCCAGGGCACCACUCGCCCCUGAUCCAUCUUGGUUUCCCGCACAAGGCAGCAGGAUUGCCCAUGAAUGAACAUGGGUGAAAUCGUUGGAUACAGUCUCCACCUCCAAAACAAGACUCAGAAAAAGGUGUGAAGCUCAAGUCGGAUGACCAUGACCCACGCGUGGCCACGGACGGGCCCAUGCUACCCUUCGCAGUCCUCCUGGAACAGCCGGGCCGGUCCUCACCUCCGGGUCGGGGCUUGGAGAUAAUGGGUGUAAUGGAAGGCCUGAGGACCGGGCCCCACGCCAGUCAGCGUCCGGGCGGGAUACCCCAUCCCCCGUUCACACUCUCGGAAGGCCCAGCGAUUCCCGCGUGUACUAAUUGACCCGCUCAGGCCACAGCACUCCGAGCUCAAGAGCGCGCCUACAACGCUGACCCUCAGGUUUAAUCUCCGACGAAAGGACGAAGAGUACACCCAGCAAAGCCGGGCUCAUCCUGCCAGCGCUGCCAGUCCCCUGGAACUCUGCACCGCGCCCUGUGGCCAAAUCCCCUUUCUUGCCGGCUUCGCCAGAGCGCCGGAGAGAAAACCUUAACAGUGCAGCCAGGUGGCGCCCGACAGCCGGCGCCAGCGGCCGCGGAUCGGAUCCGCAUCUCCGGCGGGCGAGGCCUCUCCUAGUCCCUGACCAACUGGGAUCGCGUUUCUCGGCCUGGGGCGGGUGAAGGAGCUCCCAGUUGGCACCGCCUGGAAUGGCGCGACCCCGCAGCCGAAGGAGACUUGAAAAUUUUUCCUAACUACCGUUCUGCUCCGAGUGACUGCUACCUGCGAGGACAGACAGCCCACGCGGCUCCGGGCCGGGCGAUCUUCCGCGGGAACCGGGAACGUUUCCGAAGACCCCCGCAGGCCGGCGCCCUGCCUCGGCUUCCCAGCGCAGCGGGGUCCCGGGCUCCUCGCGGAUUAGAAAGUUUUGCUGGGCUCUGGCGGCGGGAGAGACAGUGAAGUUGAAACCGUGAAAGGGAGAACAUGGGUGAAUCGCUUUUAUUCUGUCUUUUCGGAAUGGGGAAGCCUUUCUAAAGCAUUAAAUAAACCCAGAAGCCAUCAAGGAAAUGAUUGAUCGGCUUGACAACAUAAAGUUUGAACAAAAUACACAAGCAAAGUCAAAAGAUAACAAAUGAGUGUGGGGAUCGCUUAUGCAUAAGAUAAGAAUAUUGAUUUCAUUCACAGUAGCCAAGAUACGGAAGCAACCUAGCCAAGAUAUGGAAGCAUCUACUAGUGGCUGAACGGAUAAAGAAAAUGUGGUGUAUGUACACCACGGGGUACUGUCCCGCCUUUGAAUAAAAGGAAAUCCUGCCAUUGGCGACAACAUGGAUGAACGUGGAGGUCAUUGUACUAAGAAAAGUAAGCCAGGCACAGAAACAAAUACCACCUGGUCUCUCCUGUAUGUGGAAUCUGAAAAUAGUUGAACUCAUAGAAACGGAGAGUAGAACGGUGGCUACUUGAGGCCGGGGGAAGGGCAGGAGGGGGAAGAUGUUAGUCAAAGGGUACAAGGAUUCAGUUAGACAAGAGGAAUAUGUUUUAGUGAUCCACAUGGCACGGUGACUGUAGUUAAUGCAUUUUAUAUGUCAAAAUUCCUUAAAUAGUAGAUUUUAAAUAAUCUCACCACAAAAAAAUAGAUGUGUUGGUGAUGGAUAUCUUAAUUAGCUUAAAGUAAUUGUUCCACCAAUGUAUACAUAUAUCAAAACAUCACAUUGUAUCCCAUGAAUAUAU
ensembl:lncRNA LINC02693 long intergenic non-protein coding RNA 2693